rnacentral:rRNA from 1 species
CCAGACUCCUACGGGAGGCAGCAGUGGGGAAUAUUGCACAAUGGGCGCAAGCCUGAUGCAGCGACGCCGCGUGAGGGAUGGAGGCCUUCGGGUUGUGAACCUCUUUCGCCAGUGAAGCAGGCCUGCCUCGUUGUGGGUGGGUUGACGGUAGCUGGAUAAGAAGCGCCGGCUAACUACGUGCCAGCAGCCGCGGUAAUACGUAGGGCGCGAGCGUUGUCCGGAAUUAUUGGGCGUAAAGAGCUCGUAGGCGGCUGGUCGCGUCUGUCGUGAAAUCCUCUGGCUUAACUGGGGGCUUGCGGUGGGUACGGGCCGGCUUGAGUGCGGUAGGGGAGACUGGAACUCCUGGUGUAGCGGUGGAAUGCGCAGAUAUCAGGAAGAACACCGGUGGCGAAGGCGGGUCUCUGGGCCGUUACUGACGCUGAGGAGCGAAAGCGUGGGGAGCGAACAGGAUUAGAUACCCUGGUAGUCCACGCCGUAAACGUUGGGCACUAGGUGUGGGGGGCCUUUUCCGGGUUUUCCGCGCCGUAGCUAACGCAUUAAGUGCCCCGCCUGGGGAGUACGGCCGCAAGGCUAAAACUCAAAGGAAUUGACGGGGGCCCGCACAAG